UAACUUUGGUAACACAGGUCGGCCACAGAUUUUCUGGACAAGCUCCAUUACAACAACUCAGCCAACCUUGACAUGCAGUAUAAAUGGCAAAAAAUUUAAAGGGCUUGUUGAUACUGGAGUGGUGCUUUGUUCCCUGCUG